rnacentral:ncRNA from 16 species
UUUCAUUCAGGAAAGGGCGUUUUGGAGAAACGACGCGGGUGACGGGGAAGAUGGUGCAAAUCCAUCACGGUGCCGCCACUGUAAGCGGGGAGUAACUCUGUAUCAUGCCACUGUGCGCUUCGGCGCAUGGGAAGGCGCAGGGACGCGACGAUCCGCAAGUCAGGAAACCCAACCGGCAGUCGAUUCAACUCA